rnacentral:rRNA from 1 species
UACGUAGGGGGCAAGCGUUGUCCGGAAUCAUUGGGCGUAAAGAGCGUGUAGGCGGCCCGAUAAGUCCGCCGUGAAAGUCCAGGGCUCAACCCUGGAAUGCCGGUGGAAACUGUCGGGCUCGAGUCCGGAAGAGGCGAGUGGAAUUCCUGGUGUAGCGGUGAAAUGCGCAGAUAUCAGGAGGAACACCGGUGGCGAAGGCGGCAUCCUGGACCGACACUGACGCUGAGGAGCGAAAGCCAGGGGAGCAAACGGG